CACUUCCAUCUUAGAAGGUGGCGGUAAUGCACACUUAAAAGUUGUUUGCCAACCGCCAAUUUAAAAAAGAAGAAGAAGAAGAAGAAGACACUUCCAUCUCCAUAAAGAUUGUUUUGUCAAAUUGUGGAACAGAUGCUAGCUUCAUUGCUAACAAAGAUUAACUAAAGUCCGCAAAACUCUAAUUCAGAUUCUUUUGGAUCUUUAAACAUUUGACGUAAGUCAGAGAUACAGAAGAACUUUGCUGUUGAAUAUUAAAAGCAAAUGAACAAACACAGAAAUCUGGAUCUCCAUGUCUGCUGUGCAAAUCAACUGUUCCUGCCAACAUUCAUCUCCAGACUUGAUCUCUUCUCACCACUUUCCCUAAGUACGAGUGCUGCUGUAAGUGGGCAAGCUCUCAGCACCGAGUGGCUCCUCUCCAGAUGGAGAAGAGGGGUUUGGAUUAGAGGCCGAGUCGCGUGGGAUGUGAGAAAUGAGACGCUUCUGUACAUGUUGCAUGUUGAUAUCUCAACAGCUUUAACUGAGUCACGAUACUGAUGCGAUUACAUGGUGCUGAUGUUUCCUUUAUCCAAAAAGCGUAAGUAAAUGCAACAGUUGACCAAAGUGCUCUACAAAAACAGAAAAAGACACUUGAGAUAAUAUGCUAUAAAAGAGUAUUUAUUUACUGACAGAUUAGGAAAAAUAAAUUGUCAUUGUGUAGUAAGGCAAAUGAAAUAUAAAGCCAAUUCUAAAAUGUUAAAAUACUAUAAAAGCCAUAGAUGGUGAAUUUGUUUUAACUGAGAUGGGCUUUUAGUACAUUUUUCUUUUUUUAUUUUAGUCCCCUUAUUACUUGCAAUUGUAAAUAAGUCAGUUUAGAGUUUCAGUACAUUACAUUAGAGCUUCAGUGGAAUUGUAUUGCAUGAUUUAUUAAACAAUCAAUUUGUUAGAAAAUUUUCACUACUGUUUAAAAUUUUGGGGUUGGUUAGAUGUUUUUAUUUGAUAAAAAAAAACAGGAAAAAUGGGAAAUAUUAUAACAGUGAUGCAUUUCAAACAGAUAUGCGCAGAGAAUGAGAUGACUGAAAGCAAACCUGUAUAUUUUCUUUAUUUUACAAAAGCACAAUGUUGAUAUUGCGAGUAAAAAAGUAGA